UUUUGGUGUAUUAUCUUUAGGUUCCUGUGUUGCCUACCUUUGAAAAAGAAAUUUAAUUGGCUUGGAAUAUUUGUUCCAUCCACAUUUCUUUAUGGGAUGAUGGUGGAUUUUAAUGCAACGCUUGUGUUCCACAUUAAUUUUUCACUAUGAAGCUUUUGUGGUCUGCAUGUGGCUGUUGUUCUUUUGGAUGCAGUGCAUGCAAUGAUCGUGGGUUUAAUUGUCCCGUUUGAUUUCUAAAUUUCUGGUUGCCUUAGAAUGACAUUUGUCUUGGUGCUUGUGAUGUUUUCCUUUUAGGGGGACAACACUUGCACCCUGAGCAUGUCCAUUAAUGGGUGUUACCU
rnacentral:misc_RNA from 1 species